CCCUUUGACUAUGAACGAGAUAAAUCCCAUAAGAUCAACGGAAGUCCUUCGGUCCCUUGGACUAUUAACAAAAUGGGAAUGUUGGAAGAGAAAGUCCAUCUAGUCGUUUUAAUAUACUAACCUUGCAGGUAGUAUUUCCAACAUGAGGAAAAAGGUUAACUAUGGAUUAAGGUACAAACACGCCAUGGAUGAGGUAAUCCUAUUAUUGGAAUGCUAUUGUGUGUUGAUUUGUGUUGUAUACCUAAAUACCAUGUGGAUAUGUUGGUGGUAAAAACUGAAUAUAUUGGGUGGUAGUUUGAAACUGAUGUAAUUUUGCCUGUAUGUUAUGACGACAUGGAAAACAUAUCUUAAUGUGAUAUUGUUUGUUCUCUUAAUUUCGUAACUUACAUUACGAUUCUGCAAGCUCGAUUUAGAAUUAUAUGAUCAUUAGGGUUUUGGUUUGAAUCCAUUUACUGAUGAUUGAUAAAAAAAUUAAAAAUCAGGAUUGGGAGUUAGAUUUUGUUUAGUGGAAUGUAAAACCUAAGACCUAUGUUCCACCAUUUGGGGUAUUGUUUUAGAUUAGAAUAAACAAUAAAAGUCUCCCAGUCCCUUGGACUAUAAGCAAGAUGGUAAUAUGGGAAGAGAAAAGUCCCAUGGACUAUAAACAAGAAAUGUCCGUUGGACUAUAAACAAAAUAAGUCCCUUAAGAUCAAGGAAAGUCCCUCAGUCCCUUGGACUAUAUACAAGAUGGAAAUGUUGAAAGAGAAAAACCCCUUAGAAUAGAAACAAGAAAAAUCCCUUAAGAUAAACGAAAAAUUCCCUUAGACUAUAAACAAGAAAAGUCCCUUAUGAUCAACGAAAGUCCUUCAGUCCCUUGGACUAUAAACAAAAUGGGAAUGUUGGAAAAAAAAGUCCCCUGGAUUAUAAACAAGUACAGUCCCUUAUGAUCAACGAAAAAGUCCCUUGGACUAUAAACAAAAAAAGUCCCUUAAGAUCAACGAAAGUCCCUCGGUCCCUUGCACUAUAAACAAGAUGGGAAUGUUGGAAGAGAAAAGUCCCCUAGACUAUAAACAAAAAAAGUCCCUUAAGAUCAACGAAAAAGUCCCUUGGACUAUAAACAAGAAAAGUCCGUGAAGAUCAACGAAAGUCUUAGUCCCUUGGACUAUAAACAAGAUGGGAAUGUUGGAAGAGAAAAGUCCUUUGGACUUUAAACAAGAAAAGUCCCUUGAUAUCAAUGAAAGUCCCUCAGUCCCUUGGACUAUAAAAUAGAUGGAAAUGUGGGUAGAGAAAAGUUCCUUGGACUAUAAACAAGAAAAAUCCCUUGAGAUCAAAGAUAAAGUCCCUUGGACUAUAAACAAGAUUGGAGUGUUGGAAGAGAAAUGUCCCCUGGACUAUAAACAAUAAAAGUCCCUUGGACUAUAAACAAGAUAAGUAUCUUUAGAUCAACCAAAGUCCCUUAGUCCCUCGGGCUAUAAACAUUAUUGGAAUGUUGGAAGAGAAAAGUCCCUUUGACUAUGAAGGAGAUAUGUCCCGUAAGAUCAACGGAAGUCCCUCAUUUCUUUGGACUAUUAACAAGAUGUGAAUGUUGGAAGAGAAAGUCCAUCUAGUCGUUGUAAUAUACUAACCUUGCAGGUAAUAUUUCCAACAUGAGGAAAAAGGUUAGCUAUGGAAUAAGGUACAAACACGCCAUGCAUGAGGUAAUCCUACUAUUGGAAUGCCAUUCUGUGUUGAUUUGUGUUGUAUAGCUAAAUACCAUGUGGAUAUGUUGGUGGUAAAAACUGAAUAUAUUGGGUGGUAGUUUGAAACUCAUGUAAUUUUGCCUGUAUGUUAUGACGACUUGGAAAAUAUAUUUUAAUGUGAUAUUGUUUAUUCUCUUAAUUUCGUAACUUAUGUUACGAUUCUGCAAGCUCGAUUUAGAAUUAUAUUAUCAUUAGGGUUUUGGUUUGAAUCAAUUUACUGAGGAUUGAUAAAAAGAAAUUAAAAAUCAGGAUUGGGAGUUGGAUUUUGUUUAAGUGCAAUGUAAAACCUAAGACCUAUGUUCCACAAUUUGGCUUAUUGUUUUAGAUUAGAAUAAACAACGAAAGUUUCCCAGUCCCUUGGACUAUAAGCAAGAUGGUAAUAUGGGAAGAGAAAAUUCCCAUGGGCUAUAAACAAGAAAUGUCCGUUGGACUAUAAACAAAAAAAGUCCCUUGAGAUCAACGAAUGUCCCUCGGUCCCUUGGACUAUAAAUAUGAUGGGAAUGUUGGAAGAGAAAAUUCCCCGGACUAUAAACAAAAAAAGUCCGUGAAGAUCAAUGAAAGUCCCUAAGUCUCUUGGACUAUAAACAAGAUGGGAAUGUUGGAAGAGUAAAGUCCUUUGGACUAUAAACAAGAAAAGUGCCUUGAGAUCAACGAAAGUCCCUCAGUCUCUUGGACUAUAAAAUAGAUGGAAAUGUGGGUAGAGAAAAGUCCCUUGGACUAUAAAAAAAGAAAAGUCCAUCGAGAUCAACGAAAAAGUCCAUUGGAUUAUAAACAAGAUGGUUGGAAGAGAAAUGUCCCCUGGACUAUAAACAAGAAAAGUUCCUUGGACUAUAAAAAAGAAAAGUCUCUUUAGAUCAACCAAAGUCCUUCAGUCCCUCGGACUAUAAACAAGAUCGGAAUGUUGGAAGAGAAAAUUCCUUCUCACUUUGAACGAGAAAAGUCCUAUAAGAUCACCUCAGUCCCUCAGUCCCUUGGACUAUAAACAAGAUGGGAAUGUUGGAAGAGAAAGUCAAUCUGGUCGUUGUAAUAUACUAACCUUGCAGGUAAUAUUUCCAACAUGAGGGAAAAUGUUAGCUAUGGAAUAAAGUACAAACACGCAUGCAUGAGGUAAUAUCGUAUUUUUAUUUUAUUUUAUUCUCAUAUGGCUUACAUUGAAAACAAUGCAAUAUCUUGUUUGGGGGUGUCUGUUUGACUUUUAUUUUCAUGUGUUGUUUUGUAUGUUGCUGAAAAUAAUGUGUGAAUAUAUGCUAAUUAGUAUUUUACGAAUUAUCUAAAUCUUGUUCAUAAUAACAAAAUUUGUUCUUUGAAUUAGUGCUUUGUUUGGUAUAACCUUAUAAAAAAAUUGAACGAUGCAUUGGUGCAAUGAAUUGUUAGUGAAAUUAUCAUUUUUUUAAUCUCAAAAUUAUAGGGACUGAAGCAAUUAUGCAAAUUUGAUAUCAUCAUGAAUUUAAGUAUGAUGCAAAUUGGAGAAAUUUUUGUUUUAUGCGGGAAGUUUGUUCCAUUACUGUUAUUUCUGGUUUGUAAUUUCUUCUAUCUGCUUUCGAUUUUUCUGUUAUUUUCAUCCAAUCCAAAUGCUGACCAGAAACAUUAUGUGAGAUAUAUUUCAGCUAGUAAAUGUGUACAAGAAUGUGUUAUCUUGUUUAAACCCUGACUCUCAGAGAUAUUCCCUAAGCUGCAUGUUCGAGACUUAGAUUAAGGCUGGGAACUGUUGUAGCUUCACUCCAUAGCUUUUAAAUUAUUUGAAAUAUUAUUGAAGAGAAUAUCUGCUGGACUGUGGAUGGUUGAUUCUUGUGCUUAUGCGCUAAAUUGAAUUUAUGUUUGCUUGUUUUGAAAGUAUUCUUUUGGGUAUGUUAAUAAUUCUUCAAUUAUGUAUAUUUGUUAAUCAGCCAGCAAAAAAAAAGUUAGCAAUUAAUGCAUAUCUGUUUUUCUACCGUAUGUUUUUUUUUUGCUGCAGGAUUCGCUAGCAUAUUUUCGAAUAAAAGAGCUGAAGGAUGUUCUCACUCAAUUAGGUCUUGCAAAGCAAGGAAAAAAACAGGUAGGCAAGGAGAUUUCAUCGUAUUCGUAGCUAUUUAUAGCUGACUGGGGAUGCUUGCCUUUGAUUAAUUUUGAUGAGUUCAAGGGGUUUCUCAUGGAAAUCCGUUUGGUUGAAUUUCAAAAACCCUUAAGCAAGUUCUUGAUUCUGCAGCUUUCUUUUAAUAAUUGUGUGAAUGUUACAUAGAUUGAUACCUUUGCCGCCUCUUUAAUAAUGAAUAUCUCAUUUUACUUGUUAAAAAAAGGUUUCCACCUAUUUGAGUUUCAUUCUGAACAAGUGCCCGGCAGGAUAGAAGUCGAUGCUGACUACAUGGAACCUAUAAUUUAGAUCUCUUUGACUUAUGUAUUUGUUUUGCUUUAACUCACCUUCUUUUCUAUGUCCUACACGCUUUCAUGCAUAUUCAUCUUGUUCUUUUGUUAUUCAUCAGUUUAGGAUUCACUGGCUCGCGUUUCAUUGAGUUUUUUUAAGUGAUCAUAAUUUUCCUUCUGUUGGCAUCUAGUUGCUUAUUACUAUUAUUUUACCUUAGCUCUAUUGUCUGAAUAGAUGCAUGUAACAGGAAGUUCAUGUGGCUGUUAUUCAUUAGUCCCUUAUGUCUUUGUUUUGCCUAUUUGAGAUCUGAUAUCAGUACUUCUCUGAGUUUAUGUCGUGAUAGAUGCUCAAGUGUUAACAGCGGUCAUAUGGGUGGUGGAUAUCCAUGAUGUUUCCAUUUGAUGUAUACAGGAGACAAGUUUUGUGAUUAAAUUUACAUGUGUUAGUCUCACUUUUGUUAUAACUGUCUAUUGUUUCAAAUAAUGUGUUAUCUACUAUGUUAUUUAGACACGAAUUUCGGAGUUUCAUGUCUGCCAUUUUUAUACAUGUGAAUUGUCUCAGACGUUCACCUUUUUAGUUUGUUCUAAUAAAGGCCCACUUUGUUUCAUUUAUAUUUGUCAUUCACAAAACUAUCAGUCCUUACCCCAAGACCUCCCUGUUUUUCCAUCAUAUACCGGUUCACAAAUAUUCUACUGCCUCACUUGUUCAUCUCAGCUCAUGUUCUUCCAUACUGGUGUUAUUUUGUAACUUUUCGUUUGGCCCCUCUCAACCAAACGAAAUAAGUUUGUUAUUCUGUGCAUUUUAAUUUGUUAAUUACAUUUCUUAAUGAUCACUAGUUUUAUCAUCAUGUGUACUGCAAAAUGCUUUCAACAAGUGUAAAUGUUACACAUGUCCUUAUAGAGUUAUAGAUCUCACUAUGGAAACCAAUAAUUUGUUUACCCUAUACUAUGGUUUAGAGUUAAAAUAGUGGGUGAUAUUGUAUUUUUUUAAAAAUAAAUAAUAUAAUAUACAUUAAAGUGUUUGAAUAUACCUCACAAAGAGAAAGAAAAUUUCAAAGAGAGAAAAUUUCAAAGAAAUAAUCCGCUUUUUAGAAAACCGGACAUUUGUCCUUAUGAACUAUGUUUGGAAGUGGAACCAAUGGUAUUUCGUUGGGCGGGCUUUUUGAGUCUAUGGUAUGAGUCAUUCUCUUAGACUAGACCUUCGUAAUGUACAUAGUUGCUCAAACCCUAGUACUGAAAGUUUGACACUAUAUUGUCCACAUUCCCAAACACUCUUGAUCUGAGUUUUAUGUGUAAAGUUUGUAGAACUGCUAUUUCAAAUACAUGUUGAUUAUAUUUAUAAAUAUAUGAACAUUUUGAUGCAGGUUCACCAUCCCAUACACCAGACCUUCUACUUGACAAUGGAGCAUAAGAGGAAACUUAAAAGAAGAAUUUGGUUAGUUUAUUUAUAUUGGAGGCUUGAAGCUUUGUUGGCUGUAUUAUAUUUAAUGUUCUAAUAUAACACGCACGCACGCAUGAGGUAAUAUCCUAUUUUUAUUUUUUUUUAUCAUUUAUCUUAUGUUGAGGACAAUGCAAUAUCUUGUUUGAGGGUUGUUUGUUUGACUUUCAUUUUCAUUUGUUGUUUUGUAAGUUGUUGAAAAUAAUGUGCGACUAUAUGCUAUGUUGUCCAAUGAAGGUGCAAAUUUUAUUUUUGUUGCUAGAAUAAUGAAUACCAUGUGGAUAUGUUGGUGGUAAAAACUUAAUAUAUUGGGUGGUGGUUUGAAACUCAUGUAAUUUUGCCUGCAUGUUAUAACGACUUGGAAAACAUAUCAUAAUAUGAUAUUGUUUGUUCUCUUAAUUUCGUAACGUACGUUACGAUUCUGGAAGCUCGAUUUGGAAUUAUAUGAUCAUUACGGUUUUGGUUUGAAUCCAUUUACUUAAAAAUGAGGAUUGGGAGUUGGAUUUUGUUUAAGAGCAAUGUAAAACCUAAGACCUAUGUUCCAUAAUUUGGCAUAUUGUUUUAGAUUGGAAUAAACAACAAAAGUCCCUCAGUCCCUUCGACUAUAAACAAGAUGGUAAUAUGGGAAGAGAAAAUUCCCCUGGACUAUAAACAAGAAAAGCCCCUUAAGAUCAACGAAAGUCCCUCACUCCCUUGGACUAUAAACAAGAUGGGAAUGUUGGAAGAGAAAAGUCCCCUGGACUAUAAACACGAAAAAUCCCUUAAGAUAAACAAAAAAGUCCCUUGGAUUGUAAACAAGAAAUGACCCUUAAGAUCAAUGAAAGUCCUUCAGUCACUUGGAUCAUAAACAAAAUGGGAAUGUUGGAAGAGAAAAGUCCUCUGGACUAUAAACAAAAAAAGUCCCUUGAGAUCGAUGAAGGUCCCUCAGUCCCUUGGACUAUAAACAAGAUGAGAAUGUGGGUAGAGAAAAGUCCCUUGGGGUACCAAAAAAAAAAAAAAAAUGUCCCUUGGACUAUAAACAAGAAAAAUCCCUUGAGAUUACAGAAAAAGUCCUUUGGACUAUAAACAAGAUGGGAGUGUUGGAAUAGAAAUAUCCCCUGGACUACAAACAAAAAAAGACCCUUAAGAUCAGUGAAAAAGUCCCUCAGACUAUAAACAAGAAAAGUCCGUGAAGAUCAACGAAAGUCCCUAAGUCCCUUGGACUAUAAACAAGAUUGGAAUAUUGGAAGAGAAAAGUCUUUUGGUCUAUAUACAAGAAAAGUCCCUUGAGAUCAACGAAAGUCCCUCAGCCCAUUGGACUAUAAAAUAGAUGGAAAUGUGGGUAGAGAAAAGUCCCUUGGACUAUAUACAAGAAACGUCCCUUGAGAUCAACGAUAAAGUCCCUUGGACUAUAAACAAGAUGGGAGUGUUGGAAGAGAAAUGUCCCCUGGACUAUAAACAAGAAAAGUCCCUUGGCCUAUAAACAAGAAAAGUCUCUUGGCCUAUAAACAAGAAAAGUCUCUUUAGAUCAACCAAAGUCCCUCGGUCCCUUUGACUAUAAACAAGAUCAGAAUGUUGGAAGAGAAAAGUCCCUUUGACUAUGAACGAGAUAAAUCCCAUAAGAUCAACGGAAGUCCCUCGGUCCCUUGGACUAUUAACACAAUGGGAAUGUUGGAAGAGAAAGUCCAUCUAGUCGUUGUAAUAUACUAAUUGCAGGUAAUAUUUCCAACAUGAGGAAAAAGGUUAACUAUGGACUAAGGUACAAACACGCCAUGCAUGAGGUAAUCUUGUUAUUGGAAUGCCACUUUGUGUUGAUUUGUGUUGUAUAGCUAAAUACCAUGUGGAUAUGUUGGUGGUAAAAACUGAAUAUAUUGGGUGGUAGUUUGAAACUGAUGUA
rnacentral:lncRNA from 1 species